ACGCUCGACACCUACGGGAGGAGCAGUGGGGAAUAUUGCACAAUGGGGGAAACCCUGAUGCAGCGACGCCGCGUGAAGGAAGAAGUAUCUCGGUAUGUAAACUUCUAUCAGCAGGGAAGAAAAUGACGGUACCUGACUAAGAAGCCCCGGCUAACUACGUGCAAGCAGCCGCGGUAAUCUGAGCGGGCUGGCAAGGC
rnacentral:rRNA from 1 species